CCUACGGGAGGCAGCAGUGGGGAAUAUUGCACAAUGGGGGAAACCCUGAUGCAGCGACGCCGCGUGAGUGACGACGUAUCUCGGUAUGUUAAGCUCUAUCUGCAGGGAAGAAAAUGACGGUACCUGACUAAGAAGCCCCGGCUAACUACGUGCCAGCAGCCGCGGUAAUACGGAGGGGGCAAGCGUUAUCCGGAUUUACUGGGUGUAAAGGGAGCGUAGACGGCAGCGCAAGUCUGUAGGGAAAACCGCGGGGUUAACCGUGGAACUGCUGUGGAAACUGGGCAGCUGGAGUGCAGGAGAGGUAAGCGGAAUGCCUGGUGUAGCGGUGAAAUGCGUAGAUAUUAGGAGGAACACCGGUGGCGAAGGCAGCUUACUGGACUGUAACUGACGUUGAGGCUCGAAAGCGUGGGGAGCGAACAGGAUUAGAUACCCUUGUAGUC
rnacentral:rRNA from 1 species